rnacentral:tRNA from 1 species
GCCCAGGUGGCGAAAUUGGUAGACGCAGGGGACUCAAAAUCCCCCGCCGUGAGGUGUGACGGUUCGAGUCCGUCCCUGGGCACCA